GACGAACGCUGGCGGCGUGCUUAACACAUGCAAGUCGAACGGAAAGGCCCUGCUUUUGUGGGGUGCUCGAGUGGCGAACGGGUGAGUAACACGUGAGUAACCUGCCCUUGACUUUGGGAUAACUUCAGGAAACUGGGGCUAAUACCGGAUAGGAGCUCCUGCUGCAUGGUGGGGGUUGGAAAGUUUCGGCGGUUGGGGAUGGACUCGCGGCUUAUCAGCUUGUUGGUGGGGUAGUGGCUUACCAAGGCUUUGACGGGUAGCCGGCCUGGGAGGGUGACCGGCCACAUUGGGACUAGAUACGGCCCAGACUCCUACGGGAGGCAGCAGUGGGGAAUAUUGCACAAUGGGCGGAAGCCUGAUGCAGCAACGCCGCAUGCGGGAUGACGGCCUUCGGGUUGUAAACCGCUUUCGCCUGUGACGAAGCGUGAGUGACGGUAAUGGGUAAAGAAGCACCGGCUAACUACGUG
rnacentral:rRNA from 1 species